rnacentral:lncRNA from 1 species
GAAGGCUAGACGGUCUUGGUCUUGGAAGCUUGGCUUUCAUAUUGUGGUGAGCUUGGGCCUUCCUCCAUCAUCCCCUCCCUCUUGAAAAGGAUUUGUCCUCAAAUCCAAUGCUUUUGCUUAGGGGAAUGGUUGUGGCUGGAUGGUGUCCAUCAUCUCCUCCUUCUUUUGAGAAGAUCUAUCCUCAGAUCGUCAGGCUUGAUCUCGGAUAGCAGCAUCUUGUUUCUUCAAAGCUUGUCCUCCUGGAUCAAAUGCCCACCUAUAGAAAUAAUCAAAUAAAGCAUAGGUGUUAGUUUACGAAUUAAUUUUACUAGGUUGCCAUUGUUGUUUGUCUUUUGGUGUUGGCAACCUUGGACAAGAUUUCUCUUUUAAGGGUUGUGUGUGGCCUCUAAUCAUCUUUUGUAUUUUAAAAUGGUCACUUGUGGUUACCUUCUCUUGAGGCAUAAAUCCUAUAGGAGAUGGUAACAACUUAAAAGAAGAAAGAUGAUUGAGCACACACAUAACUUUAAAAGUAGAAGUAGUUUUGUGAACUUCUUGAUGGUAUGUUUGCUCAUCUCUAAAAUUGUGUGUGCACUUCAUGACU